rnacentral:rRNA from 1 species
CAGUAGCCGCGGGAAUACGAAGGGGGCUAGCGUUGUUCGGAUUUACUGGGCGUAAAGCGCACGUAGGCGGACUUUUAAGUCAGGGGUGAAAUCCCGGGGCUCAACCCCGGAACUGCCUUUGAUACUGGAAGUCUUGAGUAUGGUAGAGGUGAGUGGAAUUCCGAGUGUAGAGGUGAAAUUCGUAGAUAUUCGGAGGAACACCAGUGGCGAAGGCGGCUCACUGGACCAUUACUGACGCUGGGGUGCGAAAGCGUGGGGAGCAAACAGGAUUAGAUACCCGAGUAGUCCCUGUCUCUUAUAA